rnacentral:lncRNA from 1 species
UGAACCUACGCACCAGAAGAGAUGAGGGCUCAGGGAGGGAGGAACCUUCAAUCCAUGACAAAACAAGGGCCUAGAUGUUUCAUCAGGCUGUAUUUUACUGUAUGAAGUAAAACUGGGUUAAAGAGACCGUCUUCGUCAUGACGAAAUUGUAAGACGAGUUCCAGGAGGAUGACCAUGAGCAGAUACGGGAAACCCCUGUAAGACACAAUUACCCAGACGGCCAGCACACCACCACACCUAAGCCUGUGUGGUGUGAAACUUGGCAAGCUGGAAAGAAAGAGAGAUGGGCCGAGAGACAGUGGGUGAAUGGCAAGGAGAGGAAGAGGAGGCUGGCUUCCAGAAGGGCUGGAUGUAGAACCAGGAACCCUCAUUUCCAGCAGAGUCCAAGGAGACGCGCAUGGCAUUUUUCUCAAGCAACGCAGGCAGACGCUUGUUCACAGUCAGAGUCUUUGGAUGAAGUAGCUCUUGGCAUGUUUCAAGGUUCUCUGUGACCGUGUGGAUGUUCCUCAUCGACCCAGGAGAACAUAGCUGGUGGACUUUGAGGAACAUCAUGCACAGAAUGGAUCAGGUUGUUGGUAAGUCCACUGAAAAUCUUCAGCAGGUCAUUAGAUUCCAGCUGUUUAAGGCCCCC